UACGUAGGGGGCUAGCGUUGUCCGGAAUCAUUGGGCGUAAAGAGCGUGUAGGCGGUCCGGUAAGUCCGUUGUGAAGGUCAGGGGCUCAACCCUUGAAUGCCGGCGGAUACUGUCGGGCUAGAGUCCGGAAGAGGCGAGUGGAAUUCCCGGUGUAGCGGUGAAAUGCGCAGAUAUCAGGAGGAACACCGGUGGCGAAGGCGGAUCUCUGGGCCUUACCUGACGCUGAGGCGCGAAAGCUAGGGGAGCAAACAGG
rnacentral:rRNA from 1 species